rnacentral:rRNA from 1 species
AUUGAACGCUGGCGGCAGGCCUAACACAUGCAAGUCGAGCGGAUGAAGGGGGCUUGCUCCUGGAUUCAGCGGCGGACGGGUGAGUAAUGCCUAGGAAUCUGCCUGGUAGUGGGGGAUAACGUCCGGAAACGGGCGCUAAUACCGCAUACGUCCUGAGGGAGAAAGUGGGGGAUCUUCGGACCUCACGCUAUCAGAUGAGCCUAGGUCGGAUUAGCUAGUUGGUGGGGUAAAGGCCUACCAAGGCGACGAUCCGUAACUGGUCUGAGAGGAUGAUCAGUCACACUGGAACUGAGACACGGUCCAGACUCCUACGGGAGGCAGCAGUGGGGAAUAUUGGACAAUGGGCGAAAGCCUGAUCCAGCCAUGCCGCGUGUGUGAAGAAGGUCUUCGGAUUGUAAAGCACUUUAAGUUGGGAGGAAGGGCAGUAAGUUAAUACCUUGCUGUUUUGACGUUACCAACAGAAUAAGCACCGGCUAACUUCGUGCCAGCAGCCGCGGUAAUACGAAGGGUGCAAGCGUUAAUCGGAAUUACUGGGCGUAAAGCGCGCGUAGGUGGUUCAGCAAGUUGGAUGUGAAAUCCCCGGGCUCAACCUGGGAACUGCAUCCAAAACUACUGAGCUAGAGUACGGUAGAGGGUGGUGGAAUUUCCUGUGUAGCGGUGAAAUGCGUAGAUAUAGGAAGGAACACCAGUGGCGAAGGCGACCACCUGGACUGAUACUGACACUGAGGUGCGAAAGCGUGGGGAGCAAACAGGAUUAGAUACCCUGGUAGUCCACGCCGUAAACGAUGUCGACUAGCCGUUGGGAUCCUUGAGAUCUUAGUGGCGCAGCUAACGCGAUAAGUCGACCGCCCUGGGGAGUACGGCCGCAAGGUUA